rnacentral:lncRNA from 1 species
UUAUUCUGCUUCAGAUAAGUUGAUCCACUUUUUGUCUUCCAGUGCAAAGUGCACCUAAACUUUUGAAAAUGAAGUUUUAGUGGAACUGUGAUUUCAGACAGACAUUAAUCCUCUGGAAAGGCAGAAUCAGUUUUAUUAAUAAGCUUUCACUAUUGUUUUUGUGCCUUUGUUUAAUGUGCUUGAAUGUUGAAUUAUGCUAAAUUAUGUACAUGUUAAGUGAUAAAUUACGUAAUGCUCCAAUGUGGUGGAAAUUAAUAGUGGAACUUCCUUAAUUUUCUCUUUUGUUUUUUUGCCAUAUACCCCAUUAAAUCUCUCUGUUAUGUAGAUGGCUUUGUCAUAAGAAAGGGGAAUGGGAAGAGGAGGAAAAACCCCCAAGCCCCAAACCAAGCAGAGCCUUGCUCCCCUUGGACAGAUGGUGAGGGCUGAACCAUCAUAAAAUUGUUAUUGCCCUAAUUGAAAUCACAUUGGUGUAUUGUUCUCAGGCCGUGCCAGGGAUGCUCCCUGGGAUGGGGCUGCCAGGGGCGGGGAGAAGAGUCCCACCACAGAAAUGCAGAGCUGUGAAAAUCCUCCAGAAGGCUACGAGAGAUUCCAGCACCUCCUGGGCUAUUGCUGCUGACCCAGGGUCAGGCACGGGCAGACACCUCACAGCUGCAUCGCUUCGCCUUCCUUUUCCCAGUGGAAAUUCCUGCAGGGAACGGAUCGCCCCAGACAGCGUAGCUGGAGCCUGGGAAAACACGUGCUGCUUCGGAGUAGUUCUUUUAAAAUAUGGUGAGGACUUAGCUAAUGCAUUCCACCUGCCAGAGUCACCAGGGGAACUCCAGAGACAAGCUUCAAGCUGCUCUAAAACCGCUUCUAGUAAGACAUCUAUUGAACUGAUAAACAGCAAAGCCUUAUUUCAUAAUUGGAAUUAA